rnacentral:misc_RNA from 1 species
AGUGAACCGCUCGUAACAGGGUUUAGCAGACUCACACUAUACUCAAUAGCUUACAGUAUAAACAACCCAACAAAGUAACAAAUUGUACAUACACAAGGUGUACAUGGGUAAUGUGCAUACUGCUUAAUAUGCAAGAAAAUUUGCACAACGUGUAACAGGGUACACGAUCUAAGAUGAGAUUGUUUCGAAAAUGUAAACUGUACGUGUUUCUUCUUCUGUUUUAUGGAUUUCUGGCAUCCAUUUUUCUCCUUCACGGUCAGUUGUACACACAGAAUGAUAAUUACGAAGUGCCUGAUUGGGAUGAGCGGGUUCGAAAAGUAGGAUCUGUUUGUAACAAUACUCCAGUUCUCCUUCCUUCUCCACCCCAGCUUCAACAAACGGAUUUACCUCAACCAUUGAAGAAACAUUUUCUUAAUUUAUUUGGCAACGAUCUGGUGUUAAAUAUUGCCAGAAUACCAGCUCUGAACCUGGAUUGGUGUUUGGUUCCAAAGGUUGCCUCCACCUCUCUCUCUAAACUGUUCCUACCUUAUCUACCAGAAACAGAGGAGAUCCCCGCCCCUUUUAUACAGAAGGAGGUGUGGCAGAAGGCGGGGCAUCUGACGCUAGAACAAUUUAAUUCGGGUCAAAAUUCAAGAUUUUUGAUUUCCCGGCAUCCAUUCGCCCGAAUCAGUUCAGCUUACAGAAACAAGUUGGAGGAUAGAACUAGAUCUCAUGAUGGAAACUACUUUUUCAAUACCUACUCUAAACAGAUUAUAAAACUGAGUCGAGGGACAGUAUCAGAUGAUUCUCCGGAACCUAGUUUCCCCGAGUUUAUCAAGUUUAUCUUAAACUCAGAGAUUUACGAUGACGAUGAGCACUGGCAACCCGUCUCACUUAGAUGCAGGUUGUGUCAGCUGGAGUUCACCCAUAUCCUGAGAUAUGAGGAGUUAUCUACAGACUGGGAGUACUUUAAACAAGACGUUUCUCUUCCUCCCUCCCUACUCCUACCCUGGGAGAACAAGGGAAAACUAGGAGCUUUGCCAGAAUAUUUCAAACAAAUUUCAAGGGAAGAUUUGGAAAAGCUUGGGAAAAGAUAUGAAUCCGAUUUUCUGAUGUUUGGAUACAGAAUGGAAGACGAUUUUUAAGAAUAUAUUCCGAACGAGUUUCGGCAUUUUGAUGCUAUAUUGAUUGGACUAAUAGCCGAUUGGACUAACUCCAAUUGAUAUGACACCGGCAUUUUUUAACCUUUGUUUGGCUGUGACAACUGACACGUGAUGAAAUAAAUUAUCAUUAAAAUAUUUA